rnacentral:rRNA from 1 species
CCUACGGGGGGCUGCAGUGGGGAAUAUUGGACAAUGGGGGGAACCCUGAUCCAGUCAUGCCGCGUGUGUGAAGAAGGCCCUCGGGUUGUAAAGCACUUUCAGUGAGGAAGAACGCCUGGUGGUUAAUACCCAUCAGGAAAGACAUCACUCACAGAAGAAGCACCGGCUAACUCCGUGCCAGCAGCCGCGGUAAUACGGAGGGUGCGAGCGUUAAUCGGAAUUACUGGGCGUAAAGCGCGCGUAGGUGGCUUGAUAAGCCGGUUGUGAAAGCCCCGGGCUCAACCUGGGAACGGCAUCCGGAACUGUCAAGCUAGAGUGCAGGAGAGGAAGGUAGAAUUCCCGGUGUAGCGGUGAAAUGCGUAGAGAUCGGGAGGAAUACCAGUGGCGAAGGCGGCCUUCUGGACUGACACUGACACUGAGGUGCGAAAGCGUGGGUAGCAAACAGGAUUAGAUACCCCUGUAGUC